UGGGGAAUUUUGGACAAUGGGCGAAAGCCUGAUCCAGCAAUGCCGCGUGUGUGAAGAAGGCCUUCGGGUUGUAAAGCACUUUUGUCCGGAAAGAAAUCCUUGGCUCUAAUACAGUCGGGGGAUGACGGUACCGGAAGAAUAAGCACUGGCUAACUACGUGCCAGCAGCCGCGGUAAUACGUAGGGUGCAAGCGUUAAUCGGAAUUACUGGGCGUAAAGCGUGCGCAGGCGGUUUGCUAAGACCGAUGUGAAAUCCCCGGGCUCAACCUGGGAACUGCAUUGGUGACUGGCAGGCUAGAGUAUGGCAGAGGGGGGUAGAAUUCCACGUGUAGCAGUGAAAUGCGUAGAGAUGUGGAGGAAUACCGAUGGCGAAGGCAGCCCCCUGGGCCAAUACUGACGCUCAUGCACGAAAGCGUGGGGAGCAAAACAGGAUUAGAUACCCUGGUAGUCCACGCCCUAAACGAUGUCAACUAGUUGUUGGGGAUUCAUUUCCUUAGUAACGUAGCUAACGCGUGAAGUUGACCGCCUGGGGAGUACGGUCGCAAGAUUAAAAGCUUAAAUGAA
rnacentral:rRNA from 1 species